CUCCAUUAGUGGGGCUUACGGUUUGGGAUACCAUGAGGACAGGGAAUUCAUUUAUUCAUUCAUUCAUUCAUUCAUUCAUUCAACAAACAUGCUUAGCCAGGUGUGGUAGCACAUAUCUGUAGUCCAAACUACUUGGGAGGCUGAAGCAGGAAGAUUGUUUGAGCCCAGGAGUUUGAAGCCAGCUUAGGCAACAUAGCAAGAUCCUAUCUCAAAACAAAACAUGUGUUAAACUGAUCUUAUGCUCAGCAGGGCAGUGGAAUUUAACUGUGUGUCCCCAUAUCCAAAGUCACAGAGGGGAACAUGCUCCAGUGUGGAUGACCCAGUCUAUGCAUCUCCUUUAGUCUCUUUCAGAGGAGCCAAGCUGCCAGAGCUACUGUCCUUGACCUCUGGGAGGAAGAUCAUGGGCCAGACUUGGACACCCUGGAGAGAGGUCCCAGCAAGAGACUUGGCUGAGUCUGAUGAGGACGGUCUUGUAACUAUGCCUUGGGGCCCUUCCACUGGCUGAAGAGAAACAGCAUCCGCCCCAGACCGACCCUUUUGUGAUGGUGAAUGCACCAUGCCCAGGAAGACCC
rnacentral:lncRNA from 1 species